ACUACCACCAAGAUCUGUUAAUGUAUGCGCAACUCCAU
rnacentral:sRNA from 1 species